rnacentral:rRNA from 1 species
GAUCAUGGCUCAGGAUGAACGCUGGCGGCGUGCUUAACACAUGCAAGUCGAACGAGAGAAGAUCGGUGCUUGCACUGAUCCGAUCGAGUGGCGGACGGGUGAGUAACGCGUGGGUAACCUGCCUCAUACAGGGAAUAACAGUUGGAAACGGCUGCUAAAACCGCAUAAGCGCACAGUAUCGCAUGAUACAGUGUGAAAAACUCCGGUGGUAUGAGGAGUCGGACCCGCG